GUGGGGAAUAUUGGACAAUGGGCGAAAGCCUGAUCCAGCCAUGCCGCGUGUGUGAAGAAGGUCUUCGGAUUGUAAAGCACUUUAAGUUGGGAGGAAGGGCAGUAAGUUAAUACCUUGCUGUUUUGACGUUACCGACAGAAUAAGCACCGGCUAACUUCGUGCCAGCAGCCGCGGUAAUACGAAGGGUGCAAGCGUUAAUCGGAAUUACUGGGCGUAAAGCGCGCGUAGGUGGUUUUGUAAGUUGGAGGUGAAAUCCCCGGGCUCAACCUGGGAACUGCCUCCAAAACUGCAUGACUAGAGUACGGUAGACGGUAGUGGAAUUUCCUGUGUAGCGGUGAAAUGCGUAGAUAUAGGAAGGAACACCAGUGGCGAAGGCGACUACCUGGACUGAUACUGACACUGAGGUGCGAAAGCGUGGGGAGCAAACAGGAUUAGAUACCCCAGUAGUCC
rnacentral:rRNA from 1 species